rnacentral:lncRNA from 1 species
GAGAGCAAGCUGACUCAGGUGCUGAGGGACUCCUUCAUUGGGGAGAACUCGAGGACAUGCAUGAUCGCCAUGAUCUCACCGGGGAUAAGCUCCUGUGAAUACACUUUAAACACACUGAGAUACGCAGACAGAGUCAAGGAGCUGAGCCCCCACAGCGGGCCCAGUGGAGAACAGGCAGUCCAGAUGGAGACAGAGGAGAUGGACGCCAGCUCUCAUGGGGCCUCUCUGACAGGCAAUGAAGAGGAGGAGCUGUCCUCCCAGAUGUCCAGCUUUAAUGAAGCCAUGACUCAGAUCAGGGAGCUGGAAGAGAGGGCCAUGGAAGAGCUCAGAGAGAUCAUACAGGUAUGAACUGUCCCCAGUCAAGGACGGAUUGGCAGGCCACUCACAGCGCAGAGCUCAGCUCUAGCCCUGGAACAUGAUCUGGGCUUUUCCUGUGACUCUUUGUUGGGGUGGGACAGGGCAGUCCUCUAUACCCAGCUCUCAGCCUCCAGCAGCUCUUCCAGGAUAAUGACUACUUCAACUGGGACACAGGCUGUCCUGUGGCACGGUGCUGCUGACUAGGGGUGCAGAGGGUCCUUCAUAAGGCACUUGUCAUUCAGUAAAUGUUCCAGCUCUGUAGUGACACAUGGUCCUACAACACCUCACUCUUGGUGAGCUUAUUCCCUGCUGAAAGGCAUUUAGUCUCACCGAGUCUCGGUUUCCUUUCUCUAAGCGGGGCAAGACAUAGUGUGGUCUUUGGGGACUGCAUGCUAGGCUU